rnacentral:rRNA from 1 species
AUGAACGCUGGCGGCGUGCCUAAUACAUGCAAGUCGCGCGAACGGACGAGAAGCUUGCUUCUCUGAUGUUAGCGGCGGACGGGUGAGUAACACGUGGAUAACCUACCUAUAAGACUGGGAUAACUUCGGGAAACCGGAGCUAAUACCGGAUAAUAUUUUGAACCGCAUGGUUCAAAAGUGAAAGACGGUCUUGCUGUCACUUAUAGAUGGAUCCGCGCUGCAUUAGCUAGUUGGUAAGGUAACGGCUUACCAAGGCAACGAUGCAUAGCCGACCUGAGAGGGUGAUCGGCCACACUGGAACUGAGACACGGUCCAGACUCCUACGGGAGGCAGCAGUAGGGAAUCUUCCGCGAUGGGCGAAAGCCUGACGGAGCAACGCCGCGUGAGUGAUGAAGGUCUUCGGAUCGUAAAACUCUGUUAUUAGGGAAGAACAUAUGUGUAAGUAACUGUGCAUAUCUUGACGGUACCUAAUCAGAAAGCCACGGCUAACUACGUG